rnacentral:lncRNA from 1 species
AAACAUUUAGGAGGCAUCCAGUGAUGCUAAAGAUGUCUUUCCCCAGUUGUUUAGGAAGUUUUUACUCAUGUUUCACACAAAAUCUCCUUUACUGUACUAUCAACAUUUUAUUUUCUUUUUAAAAAGACAUUAACCACUUACCUUGUUCAUUUAAAAUGUGGAAUAACUUAGGCGGUGCAAUCUUGUAUGUUUUGGAUUUCUUAUAGGCUGAUCCCAAAGCUGUAAGAUGGAGAAUGAAUAUAAGAAAAUUCUGCUAGGAGAGGCCCCAGAAAACAUCACUGAUGAAGAACUGAAGUUCAAGUUCUGUGUUCCAGAAAAGUACAAGAUUUCCAAAGGACAACUAGAGGCUGCAGACAGGACAGAGAAAAUAAAAUGAAAGAGUCCUGUAUUACCUGGCCCAAAUGGCAAAGUAUAGAUGCCUGUAAAACAGAAGACAAAAAAAUGUGAAGAAAGGAGUAAGAAUGGAGGUGCAUUCUCCCACGUGCCAAAAAUGAGCAAAAAUCUAUAGCUGAAAUCUGGAAAUCAUAGAGGCAUUAAGGUUACUAAAGCCAAAAAAGGUGAACCAAAAACCACCAAAUGAAGUCAGCUCAUCUGAGCAACUCUUAACGGACGAAUCCCUGAUAUCACCUCUUCAACCAGAUUCUUUGUUGCAUGAUAGUAACAGUUCACAGACUUCUCUCCCCACUCACCACCAGCAAAUUAGUCAGGAUUGGAUAACUGAUGGAGAAAUAACUCCAAAACAUCAACCUGUCACCACAAUACAAGUAAAUUUCUCAUUUAUUAAACUCCUGGUUUGGUUUUGGAUACAUGUGGAAUUCUUUUCUACAUAGAUAUCGGGGGAUGUUGCAGUUGUUUGGCAAAUGCCUGUUGAAUGAAUAAAAUUAUUAAUGGGAAAUUUUCACUAUAUGUAGUUGUAUAAGUCAAUAUGAACUCAGUGUGUAAAUAACCAAAUUUUCAGGAGGACAAAUGUGAGAAGCUUGUAAACAUGAAAACAUUUUCAAUUUCAAUAACUUGAGAAAUACAAUUAAACAAUUAAUAUAUUAAACUCUGCUUAGGGUGUAGAAAGUCAGAUAAUCUGCAAAACUCACAGCUUUUUCUGAGCCCAUCAGACAGCUGAGGCUGUGGUACAAGCAUCUAGGGUAAUCAAAUGUCUAGGGGAAAAUAUAUCCAAGGAAAGAGCAGAUGGGAGCAUUUUCUGACCUGGGGUAGAUAGUUGACAUUAUAUAUUCCACAAAAUUGAAGAAUUUAGCUAAAAAUUUUAAUUUGCCUAAGGUUGAGCUGGGACUAGCAUGAGAAUGUAGAAUUACUGGGAACCUCAGUGACAUGGAGAACUUAUACCCACCCACUUGUAGGCACUUCCUUGAUGCCACUGGAUGGUCUUGGGGAAGACUAAGG